rnacentral:rRNA from 1 species
UACGGGGGGGCAAGCGUUGUUCGGAAUUACUGGGCGUAAAGGGCGCGUAGGCGGCCUACUAAGUCGGACGUGAAAUCCCUCGGCUCAACCGAGGAACUGCGUCCGAUACUGGUGGGCUUGAAUCCGGGAGAGGGAUGUGGAAUUCCAGGUGUAGCGGUGAAAUGCGUAGAUAUCUGGAGGAACACCGGUGGCGAAGGCGGCGUUCUGGACUGCAACUGACACUGAGGAACGAAAGCCAGGGGAGCAAACGGG